rnacentral:rRNA from 1 species
GAAACAUCUAAGUACCCCGAGGAAAAGAAAUCAACUGAGAUUCCCCCAGUAGCGGCGAGCGAACGGGGAGGAGCCCAGAGCCUGAAUCAGUGUGUGUGUUAGUGGAAGCGUCUGGAAAGGCGCGCGAUACAGGGUGACAGCCCCGUACACAAAAAUGCACAUGCUGUGAGCUCGAUGAGUAGGGCGGGACACGUGGUAUCCUGUCUGAAUAUGGGGGGACCAUCCUCCAAGGCUAAAUACUCCUGACUGACCGAUAGUGAACCAGUACCGUGAGGGAAAGGCGAAAAGAACCCCGGCGAGGGGAGUGAAAAAGAACCUGAAACCGUGUACGUACAAGCAGUGGGAGCACAGAGCAAUCUGUGUGACUGCGUACCUUUUGUAUAAUGGGUCAGCGACUUAUAUUCUGUAGCAAGGUUAACCGAAUAGGGGAGCCGAAGGGAAACCGAGUCUUAACUGGGCGUUAAGUUGCAGGGUAUAGACCCGAAACCCGGUGAUCUAGCCAUGGGCAGGUUGAAGGUUGGGUAACACUAACUGGAGGACCGAACCGACUAAUGUUGAAAAAUUAGCGGAUGACUUGUGGCUGGGGGUGAAAGGCCAAUCAAACCGGGAGAUAGCUGGUUCUCCCCGAAAGCUAUUUAGGUAGCGCCUCGUGAAUUCAUCUCCGGGGGUAGAGCACUGUUUCGGCAAGGGGGUCAUCCCGACUUACCAACCCGAUGCAAACUGCGAAUACCGGAGAAUGUUAUCACGGGAGACACACGGCGGGUGCUAACGUCCGUCGUGAAGAGGGAAACAACCCAGACCGCCAGCUAAGGUCCCAAAGUCAUGGUUAAGUGGGAAACGAUGUGGGAAGGCCCAGACAGCCAGGAUGUUGGCUUAGAAGCAGCCAUCAUUUAAAGAAAGCGUAAUAGCUCACUGGUCGAGUCGGCCUGCGCGGAAGAUGUAACGGGGCUAAACCAUGCACCGAAGCUGCGGCAGCGACGCUUAUGCGUUGUUGGGUAGGGGAGCGUUCUGUAAGCCUGUGAAGGUGUACUGUGAGGUAUGCUGGAGGUAUCAGAAGUGCGAAUGCUGACAUAAGUAACGAUAAAGCGGGUGAAAAGCCCGCUCGCCGGAAGACCAAGGGUUCCUGUCCAACGUUAAUCGGGGCAGGGUGAGUCGACCCCUAAGGCGAGGCCGAAAGGCGUAGUCGAUGGGAAACAGGUUAAUAUUCCUGUACUUGGUGUUACUGCGAAGGGGGGACGGAGAAGGCUAUGUUGGCCGGGCGACGGUUGUCCCGGUUUAAGCGUGUAGGCUGGUUUUCCAGGCAAAUCCGGAAAAUCAAGGCUGAGGCGUGAUGACGAGGCACUACGGUGCUGAAGCAACAAAUGCCCUGCUUCCAGGAAAAGCCUCUAAGCAUCAGGUAACAUCAAAUCGUACCCCAAACCGACACAGGUGGUCAGGUAGAGAAUACCAAGGCGCUUGAGAGAACUCGGGUGAAGGAACUAGGCAAAAUGGUGCCGUAACUUCGGGAGAAGGCACGCUGAUAUGUAGGUGAAGUCCCUCGCGGAUGGAGCUGAAAUCAGUCGAAGAUACCAGCUGGCUGCAACUGUUUAUUAAAAACACAGCACUGUGCAAACACGAAAGUGGACGUAUACGGUGUGACGCCUGCCCGGUGCCGGAAGGUUAAUUGAUGGGGUCAGCGCAAGCGAAGCUCUUGAUCGAAGCCCCGGUAAACGGCGGCCGUAACUAUAACGGUCCUAAGGUAGCGAAAUUCCUUGUCGGGUAAGUUCCGACCUGCACGAAUGGCGUAAUGAUGGCCAGGCUGUCUCCACCCGAGACUCAGUGAAAUUGAACUCGCUGUGAAGAUGCAGUGUACCCGCGGCAAGACGGAAAGACCCCGUGAACCUUUACUAUAGCUUGACACUGAACAUUGAGCCUUGAUGUGUAGGAUAGGUGGGAGGCUUGGAAGUGUGGACGCCAGUCUGCAUGGAGCCGACCUUGAAAUACCACCCUUUAAUGUUUGAUGUUCUAACGUUGACCCGUGAUCCGGGUUGCGGACAGUGUCUGGUGGGUAGUUUGACUGGGGCGGUCUCCUCCUAAAGAGUAACGGAGGAGCACGAAGGUUGGCUAAUCCUGGUCGGACAUCAGGAGGUUAGUGCAAUGGCAUAAGCCAGCUUGACUGCGAGCGUGACGGCGCGAGCAGGUGCGAAAGCAGGUCAUAGUGAUCCGGUGGUUCUGAAUGGAAGGGCCAUCGCUCAACGGAUAAAAGGUACUCCGGGGAUAACAGGCUGAUACCGCCCAAGAGUUCAUAUCGACGGCGGUGUUUGGCACCUCGAUGUCGGCUCAUCACAUCCUGGGGCUGAAGUAGGUCCCAAGGGUAUGGCUGUUCGCCAUUUAAAGUGGUACGCGAGCUGGGUUUAGAACGUCGUGAGACAGUUCGGUCCCUAUCUGCCGUGGGCGCUGGAGAACUGAGGGGGGCUGCUCCUAGUACGAGAGGACCGGAGUGGACGCAUCACUGGUGUUCGGGUUGUCAUGCCAAUGGCACUGCCCGGUAGCUAAAUGCGGAAGAGAUAAGUGCUGAAAGCAUCUAAGCACGAAACUUGCCCCGAGAUGAGUUCUCCCUGACUCCUUGAGAGUCCUGAAGGAACGUUGAAGACGACGACGUUGAUAGGCCGGGUGUGUAAGCGCAGCGAUGCGUUGAGCUAACCGGUACUAAUGAACCGUGAGGCUUAACCUUACAACGCCGAAGGUGUUU